rnacentral:rRNA from 1 species
GCAAGUCGAGCGCCCCGCAAGGGGAGCGGCAGACGGGUGAGUAACGCGUGGGAACGUACCCUUUACUACGGAAUAACGCAGGGAAACUUGUGCUAAUACCGUAUGUGCCCUUUUGGGGAAAGAUUUAUCGGUAAGGGAUCGGCCCGCGUUGGAUUAGCUAGUUGGUGGGGUAAAGGCCUACCAAGGCGACGAUCCAUAGCUGGUCUGAGAGGAUGAUCAGCCACAUUGGGACUGAGACACGGCCCAAACUCCUACGGGAGGCAGCAGUGGAAGCCGAUUUCCAGCACACUGGCGGCCGUUUUCUAGUGGAUCCGAGCUCGGUACCAAGCU